CCUUUUCUGCCACCUUGGCUGGGAAGUGGAGGAGUUCUGACUCACAGCCCAAAGUCCUGUCUCCACCGGAUGCCAGGAGAAGAACCCAGCCUAGAGCAGACGCAGCUCCUGUGUCGCGGGGCCGAGGGAGCUGGGAGCCUGUGUGAGCACUGCCCCCCACAGCUGCCGGAAGCCGCUCAAGUUCCCUGGCUGGUCCCCCUGGGGGAGUGGAUGGCCGAGUGGAUGUGCUUGCUGGGUGAGGAUGGAAUGGCACGGCACCUCUCUCACCCCAUGAAGACCCAGCUCAAAGACCAUGUCCUCCAAGAAACUGUCCCCAGACCGUCUUGUCUUCCCCAGCCCCUGCCAGAAAUGGCCUUUCCUUCUCCUCCAUGGCUUCUUUGGGCCUCUCUCAGAUGGGUCACCCUUGUUCCUCAGCCUUUGUUCCACCCAUGCUGUGCACCCUACGGAGUCCUCUGGGACAGGACAAGAUUUAAGGUUGAAGGUUUCCAUAGGAAUCAUCCACAUCCCAGGAGGUCCCCUGGCAAAGCUCUCUGGUGCUUCCCCACCAAAUUCCAGGAGAAACAUGGUAACAGAUGGCCUGGGAGCAGGACUCAAGCCUCCUUCCUGCCUUGUGGAGACUGCUGAGCUGGUAGCCAGUAGGGAGGCAGACAGAUCAUCUCUGGCUUCCAGAGAGGCACCGAAUUAACAGGGUUCCUUGGGCAGCCGUGGGAACGAGAUGGAACCGUAAGGCCUUUCAGUGAAAUCACGGAGGAACUGUAGAUCCAUGACUGUGCCCAAGGAUACAGCGUGGACCCUGAACAGAGUCUCAGCAUCAGGCCCGCCCUGCCUUUUCCUGCCCCACGCUUUCCUCAGUCAGGUGGGGAAGACAGAAGACAGGUUUCCCAGCCUGGCAAUGCCCAGACCUAGGAGGAGAAUCUCAUCUCACGGGUGACCUGUCAAUGGUUUACGAGUGCACGAUGUGGUCGUGGACUUGGCUGGUCCUCGAUCUGUGUCGAUCGGAAUCUACAUCUGGGUAAACUGAGGUGAGGGGCUCCUGGACACUGGAGUGGGGAGGCAAGGUCCGCACUGGAAGAAAUGUUCCUGUUCGCCUCAGCUGAAGCCCCAUUUCCAGGUGACCAGGGGUGACAUCUCUGCAGAAGCUGCCCACCCACAGGCCAGCCUGCUCUUGGGGACUGAGUCACAUCCUACUUAGUAGCUUAGGGAUGGUUUUACUUUGCAGUUAAGUAAUCUUUAAUAAGGUAAUUAAAAAGGAAAAAGAGGAAAAACAAGGGCAAAUGAGGUAACCACGCAGCAGCAUUAUUGCCAGGGAGGGGAAGCCAUUCCAGGUUUGGCCUCAACACCAGCUAUGGCCCCUGGUGCUUCUGAAAGGUCUCUGAUUGACACUGUUCCGGGCUCAGUUCAUCUCUACUUGCCAAAGGUGGGGUUUGUCUGCUUUCCCCCCACAGAUGCUGCCAGGGUCCCGAGAGUCAGCUUGGAGAGGGUGGGUAGACACAGGGGUUGGGAGGGGAAGGUGGAUUCUGGGCCGGGGUUGCACUCAGGCUAGAGAAGGGGGUGGAUCCACAAAGGCAGGCUCUGGGGCUUGGAGAGGAUCCUGGGCCCCAUCUGCAUAAUGAGUUCUUGACAGUGACAAAUGGAUACUGACAAAUCACAUCCGCUCUCUCGUUUCAUCCUUGCAGUGGCUCCAGCAUGGAGACAGUGUCGGCUCCACUUUAGGAGCAGGAAACUGAGGUCCAGGAAAGUUGGGUGACUUUCCAAGGGCAUCCCCCAUGGAGGGAUGUGGUAAGGGCUGGCCCAGGCCUUCCAGCUUCAUUCCCUGCUGCUCCCACUCUACGGGAAGUCUUAUGGGACAUAUCCUGUGGCUGAACCUCUUCCCAUCCAGCAGCAUGGGAACCUCUUUCCAUCUUCUUUCUCAUGAAGAAAACCAAAAGCAAGGAUUUCCACUUCUUGGAGCAAGGCUCUACCACCCUCUUCUAAUCCACUGUGUCCUGGACCCCACCCAUAUGGGGCCAUCCUCCUGUGCCCAGCACCAACUCCGUCCCAGGGACCUUGGCUGCAUUCACCUUCCUCUCUCACAAUUCACAAUUUUCUGGAAUUUUUCCUGGUGCUGUUUCCACUGACUCCUCACCAAAGCUCAUCUCUCUCAUGCUUCCCAGCCCUUGAUCUGGACAUCAUAAGGUUGUAGAAAGAUCCUGGAAUAGAGACUGAGAAAACUGAGUUCUAGAACUUUCCAUCAACCAAAAGCAUUAUCUUUAACAAUAAAAACAUUUGCAGGUUUGAGGAUGGCUUCAGAGAAAGCUGCAGGAUUCCAAAGCAGAAUGUAGUCUUUGGAAGCCCAGGUGAGUCUUCACCUGGUUGUGUCAUGCUGCUUGCAUCACAUGGCUGCUCUGAGUCUUUAUCUUCUCACCUAAAAUUGAUGUGGUUGUGAUGAAGACUGAGCAAGGAAAUGCAAUACUGAAUUAAGUGCUUGGCAGUGUCAGGUGGAUUGGCAAUACAAGCAUCUGCCCUUCCUUCAUGACAGGCAACCAGGACCCAAAACUUUCAUCCACCUACCUUUCCAUCCAUCCACUCACGAGUCCACCCAUCCAUUCUCUUAUCCAUUCUGUCAUCCAUCCAUCCAUCCAUCCAUCCAUUCAUCCAUCCAUUCCUCC
rnacentral:lncRNA from 1 species